rnacentral:sRNA from 1 species
GCUCCUGUCCUGUAUGACAUUGAACCAAAGUCAGGGCACUGGUUCUGUAGUGUCUGACUUUUAACAAGAAGCCUGCCUCCUGGCAAGGGUCUUAUGUUUGUAGCUCUUGGACUCAGUUGUCCUACAUGUGAAGGCUAUAGAAGACCUUCCAAUUGUUAUUUUCCCCAUUAAGGAUCCUCUAGAUAGAAAGUUUUGUACCGUGAUGGGAAUAUCAAUCAACUCUGAAUCUCUAGGAUUCUGACAGAAGAUUUAAAGAUCUGUGAUCCAUGAGAAACACAUGGAAAGAUUGUAUAGCUAUUGGGACUUCAAUUACCCCUCAGAGGGGAUUUCCCCACUACGUGAAGAUGGUUUUAGCAUAUCAUGGACAUAUAAGCACCCAUAUGGACCAUUUCUUCUUCCUGGAUUUAUAUAAACCGUUUUAGUGUCAGGAUUAUCAGAAGUACUUUGAUUCAUGUUGAAUGUGGAUUCUGGAUUUGACCUCCUCUAAUUGGUGCUAACUUGUAUAGUGUGGCUCUGUUCUGGGGAUGUCUGGGGAUGAGGGAUUCCUUGAAGGGAUGAUUUGACUUGCAAGAGUGACAGGCAAAUAGAAGCUGGCUGGGUUUACCAUUUUUUGUUUGUGGUUCAGCAUCAGGCACUCCCAGCUUCUGCGUGAACAAACUCAAUUGAAGAACAAUAUACAGAUUUUGCUGAAUGAGAACAGAGAACUGCUGGUGGAGCAGACUGAACGGCCAGCAUCCUGUGUGGAGGCAAAGAGGCUCUGUGAAGAGGCCGGAAUGAACAUCUGUGUCCCCAGUGCAAAGGAACAGCAGGUCUGAAAUUCUCCAGGAGAAACUCGAACAAGACACAAACCAGGGCAAGAUCUCCCUUGGAGAGAAGUGCUACAGGAGGAGAACUAAGUGUGCACAGCAAAUACACCACUAUUGCAUCUCAUCUGUAAUGUCCAUAGCAAUUGUGGACUGCAUUUUCCUCCUUUAGUUUUAUUUCUUUGGAUUGAAUAGGCUGUACUUUCACCUCCCCACCCUCCAGCAAGUGUAAACUUUUGGAGGGACUCAGAGAAGUGCUGAUGCACAUCAAUCAAGAGGUGCUGGUCAUCCAGAAAGACUGUGCACGUGUAAAUGUGUAUUGUCCUGGUGGGUCAUCCAGAAGAGUUUCAUGGAGAUCAGUUCACAACAUUGGAAAGACUUUGAGAUAAAGUCUGUAAUAUCAUUUCUACUCAGUAUUGGAUGGCUUUGUCCUUAAUACCCCCACUCCAACAAAACAGACCUACUUCCACUCC